rnacentral:rRNA from 1 species
AGUGAACGCUGGCGGUAGGCCUAACACAUGCAAGUCGAACGGCAGCACAGGAGAGCUUGCUCUCUGGGUGGCGAGUGGCGGACGGGUGAGGAAUACAUCGGAAUCUACUCUGUCGUGGGGGAUAACGUAGGGAAACUUACGCUAAUACCGCAUACGACCUACGGGUGAAAGCAGGGGACCUUCGUGCCUUGCGCGAUUGAAUGAGCCGAUGUCGGAUUAUGUUAUUGGCGGGGUAAAGGCCCACCAAGGCGACGAUCCGUAGCUGGUCUGAGAGGAUGAUCAGCCACACUGGAACUGAGACACGGUCCAGACUCCUACGGGAGGCAGCAGUGGGGAAUAUUGGACAAUGGGCGCAAGCCUGAUCCAGCCAUACCGCGUGGGUGAAGAAGGCCUUCGGGUUGUAAAGCCCUUUUGUUGGGAAAGAAAUCCAGCUGGCUAAUACCCGGUUGGGAUGACGGUACCCAAAGAAUAAGCACCGGCCAACUUCGUGCCAGCCGCCGCCGUAA